rnacentral:rRNA from 1 species
UACGUAGGGUGCGAGCGUUGUCCGGAUUUAUUGGGCGUAAAGAGCUCGUAGGCGGUUUGUCGCGUCGGCCGUGAAAUCUCCACGCUUAACGUGGAGCGUGCGGUCGAUACGGGCGGGCUAGAGUUCGGUAGGGGAGACUGGAAUUCCUGGUGUAGCGGUGAAGUGCGCGGAUAUCAGGAGGAACACCGGUGGCGAAGGCGGGUCUCUGGGCCGAUACUGACGCUGAGGAGCGAAAGCGUGGGGAGCGAACAGG